rnacentral:piRNA from 1 species
UUCAGAGUCCUAGACCUGAGCCUGGCG